AGUGCCAGCCAGCUUCCUCAUUCAAGAAUGGGAUUGCUCCGGCCUCCGUCACAGGGCUGCUUGAGGUGUCGGCACAGUUAGUUCUCAAAAAAUGUUACCGGGUGUGAUGGGGCGCCUGGGUGGCGCAGUCGGUUAAGCGUCCGACUUCAGCCAGG